rnacentral:rRNA from 1 species
UACGUAGGGUGCAAGCGUUUGUCCGGAAUUAUUGGGCGUAAAGAGCUCGUAGGCGGUCUGUUGCGUCGGCUGUGAAAACCCGAGGCUCAACCUCGGGCCUGCAGCCGAUACGGGCAGACUAGAGUUCGGCAGGGGGAGACUGGAAUUCCUGGUGUAGCGGUGAAAUGCGCAGAUAUCAGGGAGGAACACCGGUGGGCGAAGGCGGGGUCUCUGGGCCGAUACUGACG